AGUGAACGCUGGCGGUAGGCCUAACACAUGCAAGUCGAACGGCAGCACAGGAGAGCUUGCUCUCUGGGUGGCGAGUGGCGGACGGGUGAGGAAUACAUCGGAAUCUACUCUGUCGUGGGGGAUAACGUAGGGAAACUUACGCUAAUACCGCAUACGACCUACGGGUGAAAGCAGGGGAUCUUCGGACCUUGCGCGAUUGAAUGAGCCGAUGUCGGAUUAGCUAGUUGGCGGGGUAAAGGCCCACCAAGGCGACGAUCGGUAGCUGGUCUGAGAGGACGAUCAGCCACACUGGAACUGAGACACGGUCCAGACUCCUACGGGAGGCAGCAGUGGGGAAUAUUGGACAAUGGGCGCAAGCCUGAUCCAGCCAUACCGCGUGGGUGAAGAAGGCCUUCGGGUUGUAAAGCUCGUUUGUUGGGAAAGAAAUCCAGCUGGCUAAUACCCGGUUGGGAUGACGGUACCAAAGAAUAAGCACCGGCUAACUUCGUGCCAGCCGCCGCGGUAA
rnacentral:rRNA from 1 species